UACUGGAAUAUUUUUCUCUCAUAUUACAGCCACUGUCGUAAAUUGUAAAUUGUAGAUUUAAAAACAUGUCGAUAACACAAUGCGAAUUUUAUCACAGACGAUAAUCUAUGAUUUAGGUUAGGUUAAGUUUCUUCCAAUGAGGAUAUUUAGAUCAACAAUCAAAUGAUUCGACAAAGAUUACAAAGUCAUACAUGAAACUCAUUUUUGUUGUUGUAACUAUUUAUGAAUAACUUCCGUUUAACAAAUUUCGAAAUAAAUAAUAAUCUCUCUCUGCGAGAGAUCAAAUCAAACUGAAGCGAAGGUUCCGACUUGUUGCAAGAAAUUUACAAAUGUUCAAAAAUGCAUUAUAGGUCAAACAUUGUAUAGAAGGAAGGGAUUUAAUUCGGGAAAUACAACUGUAAAAAUUCACAAAUUAAUAUUUUUAAGCUUUUUCUUUCGAA